rnacentral:rRNA from 1 species
CCUACGGGUGGCAGCAGUGAGGAAUAUUGGUCAAUGGACGAGAGUCUGAACCAGCCAAGUAGCGUGAAGGAUGACUGCCCUAUGGGUUGUAAACUUCUUUUAUAAAGGAAUAAAACGAGGCACGUGUGCCUUUUUGCAUGUACUUUAUGAAUAAGCAUCGGCUAACUCCGUGCCAGCAGCCGCGGUAAUACGGAGGAUCCGAGCGUUAUCCGGAUUUAUUGGGUUUAAAGGGAGCGUAGAUGGGUUGUUAAGUCAGUUGUGAAAGUGUGCGGCUCAACCGUUAAAUUGCAAUUGAUACUGGCAGUCUUGAGUUCAGUUGAGGUAGGCGGAAUGCGUGGUGUAGCGGUGAAAUGCUUAGAUAUAACGAAGAACCCCGAUUGCGAAGGCAGCUUACCAAACUGUGACUGACAUUGAUGCUCGAAAGUGUGGGUAGCAAACAGGAUUAGAUACCCGAGUAGUC